rnacentral:snoRNA from 1 species
AUUCCAUGAUGUGGACAUUUCUGAAUGUACUCCUGGAGAUGUUGCCAUGCUUCGGGAAUGGUCUCCUCUGCCUUUUGAUGGAAGCUAGAAAUUAUUGCCCAUAGAGC